GUACACGCUGUGACUAGCAUAUCAAUAAGCGGAGGAAAAGAAACUAACAAGGAUUCCCCUAGUAAGCGGCGAGUGAAGCGGGAAGAGCUCAAAUUUGAAAUCUUAAAGGGUUUCCCUUUACGAAUUGUAGUUUAAAGAAGUGUUUUCUGUUGAGGUUUUGGUAAAAGUUCUUUGGAAUAGGACAUCAUAGAGGGUGAGGAAUCCCGUAUUUGACCUUUACUUUCAACUUUGUGAUACACUUUCAAAGAGUCGGAUUGUUUGGGAAUGCAGUCCAAAAUGGGUGGUAAAUUUCAUCUAAAGCUAAAUAUUGGCGAGAGACCGAUAGCGAACAAGUACCGUGAGGGAAAGAUGAAAAGAACUUUGAAAAGAGAGUUAAACAGUACGUGAAAUUGUCAAAAGGGAAGCGUUUGACACCAGUGUUGUUUUUCUGAAAAUCAAUUAAAGAACUGUUUAUGCUAAGUUGUUUAGACUUUAUCAGCUAACUGUUUAGUUUUGAGCUUUUCUUUAAUGCACUUUUCAGUUAACAAGUCAACAUCAAUUUCUUUUGCUGUAAAAAAGCUUGAGGAAGGUGGCUUGAGAUUCGUCUUAAGUGUUUAUAGCCUCUUGCCUAUGCAGUCGGAGAGAUUGAGGUCUGCAGCGUAGAUCCUUCGGGGCUAAAUGCAUUUGUGCUAAGUUAUAGCAUUUUAUAGACAACUUGUUGACUAUGAUUUGUCUUGUAGCUUACUCGCUUAUGUUAUUUUACCUACGCUUAGGAUGUUGACAGCAGUAUAGACUGU
rnacentral:rRNA from 1 species